rnacentral:lncRNA from 1 species
AACCCCUCCCCAUUCUCUCGUCAUCUUCUCCAAAGAUGUUUACUGGUUAUUUUUCUAAGAAUAAAAGAACCAAUUAAACUCAUGUUACAAGAUCUAAUCCAAGUUAUCAAAAGAUUUCAAACUUCCCCUUAAUACUCCUAUUCUCACAAAACAAAUGAAAUAACCACAGCAGUGGAGAAAUUUACACACCCUUGGGAAGAUAAACAAGCAAUCAUGUAUGUUUUAUUGCAACAUGUUCUUUCAUUCCAUUUUUCCCCACAAAGACAUAAAACAGAACUUUCGAGCGUCGUGAAAGAGAUAACAAUUGACACCAUCUACAAAAAACAAAAUAUCACGGAUGGCUUUUGAUGAAAUCAAUUCACAAAUGACAACAGAAGAAACCAAAUUUUAAUUUGAAAUCUAUCCACACUUCAGGUUUUUAUCAUAUCGUCAUUGAUGAAUGCAGCAAUUAUUAUCAAAAUUUUGGAAAUUCAAAUUAAUUUAUUCUUAACUUUAACAUUAUUAGACAUGGGACAGGAAUUCUAAAGAUUCAAAGCACAAUUUUGAUAAGAACAAUGAUUACAUCUAAUAAAUUGGAUAAAGCAAAAUUUUAAUCUAAAGUCAAGGAAACAAAACAUUAUGAUAAUUUUGAACACGUAACAUUUUCAAUUGAGUAUGAACCUUCACUUUACUGUAGAUCUACAAUAUUUCUCUAUAACCCUAUAAAUAAAUUGACAGCUACCAAGUAAAUGAAUUUAUAGCAGACAAAUAACCCAAUUUACAUUUCACACAAUAUUCCCCUGCAAAUCCGGUAACAAUCCUACAAAAAAUGAAUAAAUGAUACCUCUUAGCUGUCUCAAGCGUUGAUUUGGGUCGUUAGGCUAGUGGGCUCGAUGACUGAUGGCUGAUUGAAGGUGGCGGGACGGUAAUAUGGUGACGGAAGUUGCAACAGAGUAGGGGGAAAUAGCGAAGGGAGAAGAAGAAAGAAGUGUCGGAAAAGAAAAAGUAAAAGAAAAGAAAGG